GGUGCCUUUCUCUAGUUCAGGAGGCUGGUCAACGCACUCGUGAUGCGUAGGUCCGGGGUUCAAGUCCCCGAGGCGGCUCCA
rnacentral:tRNA from 2 species